CCUAGGUAUUCAAUCACUCAUCUGACUUCACUCUUUAUUUUCCAUGAGCGCCUUCACUCUCUUCAGCCCCGCAUACCACAUUAGUACAUUACCACUAUACCAGACCAGUGCAGUCGCCUUCAUCACCAUCUUCGUCUUCACUCUUCGCCAUAACUUUAGUCGCAUACGGUCAUAACAACUGCCUCAUACGGUCACAUACCAGUCGCCUUUUUCAUCUUCCUCCUGCGGACCUUCUUUACAAUUUUAAGUUGAAGAUCUACAUGGAUUCUUACCCACCACCACCUGGAUUUUUGAAUAUGGGUUCAUCUUUUGAUGAUAAUUGAAAUUCACAAACUUUCGAUGAUAAUUGAAAUUCACAAACUCCUGAAGGAACUGAAUUUGUGUUGCUCGCUUGUUCAAUGAAGAUGAAGAUACAAGACCAUCAAUUAAAAAACAAAAAAAUCAAUGUCGCGCAACUAUUGUACGAGGAAUAUUGGUCAAAAUGGUGGGAUCAUUACACAAUUGAUGAAUUGGAUUCAACAAUUGCUCGUUGUAAGUAUUGCAAAACUUCUAUUAGAUGUCAUAGCAAAAAUGGAACAACUCGAUGCAAAAAGAUAUCCUCCAUAUUUGGAUAUCAAGCAAAAGAAAAAUGAAUUUGAUAUUGCUAGAAGAGCCAAUGAGGAUGGUAGUGUUGAUAGUGUUGGUGUUCCAAAAUUGUGGGAGUUUGAUUAUUAUUUGUGUAGGAAAAAACUUGCUACGAUGAUACCCUUUCCCUCCGCCACUGUAGACCUCUCCUAGUGCACAAUUUGGAUAAUUCACUAGUAUGUUGUGUGAUCCUAAUCAUGCGACUGAUCACAUGAUUAAAGAUAACACCUCCAACAUUGUUUCACAGUACAAGUCAGUUCUUAUAAACGUAUUACUUGUGAUCUUAAAUUGAUUAAUUUAGUAAUCGGAUAUUGUAAAAAAUUAGAAUUUGGGUUGAUUGGGCUACUCUUGUAUGAGUGGUUUUAUGGAAGGCGGUCUCUUGCAAGACUUGGUAAAGUAUAAAUGAGUAUUGUUGAUUGCAAUGGGCAUAAAAGCUAAUGUUCAGUUAUUCCCAUUAGCACAAGUUCAUGGUCUUGGUUUUCGGCUUGCAUUCGGCACCUGGUAACUAGUAGAAGGUUUAUGUUUCAUAUAUGAUCGUCACGCAUGCAUCCUUGAAUCGAUGACGAGCCUUAUAGUGGAUGGGAGGAGCCAUAUACACAUUGUCAUUUCUGCAUUCAUCAUCUUGCCGCUAUUAUCCGAAUCAAAUUCAAGAAUGAUGUCAUAUAAAUCUUUUUGGUAAAGCUACUGAUGCUGCUCAAAUGAGGAAAUUUAUGUACCACAUGGAAUGAAGUGUAGGGCAAAUUUUCUAUAAUUUGUGACGUGGGUGCUUCUUUUUGGUUUGGCUCACAUCAAGCUAAGGGCAUAAAUGUGCUAAAUCAAGUCAUAACUUGGAUAAACUCCACUUGAGCGCAAAUCCAACAAGCUUGAAUAAGGCUCAGCUUGGACUAUUUUUGAUUCGCUCAAGGCUAAGAAAGCUAAUUUUAUACUUCAAAUCAAGAUCAAAAUCAGCUUCCUUAUUCUGAUCUUGAGCUCAAAUCCAAUAUGAAUGGAGUAUAAAUCCAAAGUUUACAUAAACAAAAACUACAAAUGCUAAUAGAAAGUUUUACCCCAAAUCAUCACAAGUUCAAGAUGAAUGAGCAUCUGUCAUCUUCAUCAGUGAUCACUCACUCAUCAGUCAUCAGUAUUUAAUUUUCCAUAAAUUAUCUAUACAACAGAGGUUUUCGAACAAUGAUCAUAAUUCACAAGGAUCAGAGUUACAAAAACAUAUAAUUUAUUACAUUCAAGUAAGAUGGAAUUAUAAUGAAGAAAAGAAUAAACCUUUUAUGGAGUAACAUUCUAACUUCAUAAGAAAUGGGAAAACUUACGUCUUGAGUGGUCUUCAACGAGAAAAGUAUACAGCCCGACUAUGCAAUUCAACACUUAGAGUCUCGUACUCUUAUUCGUACAAUCAAAAUGUAACUCAUUUGCCUAAAACAAUCGUACAGAGGUGUUAUAUAAUCUUUGUAUUAUACUGUUCUAAUAUAAGAUUUAAUUUUCUUGGUCAUUAGUAUUUCUACCUUUGAAGCAGUUAACUAGACAAUUAGUACCAAACAUAGCAUGGUCUAGUGACUUCUCUUGCAUCUUUCAACUUAGAGAUUAGGGACGAGGACCCAUUCGGGUUGAACAGAACAUCCCUUAUCAAGUACGUCAAAAAUCUUCCAUAGAGAGGUUUGUUCUAUGUACAAAAAUUAUUUACAACAUUAGACCUGUUAAAAAUUGAUAACAAAAUAGGAGGUUAAAAAGGUUAAUGUGCUUUUGUGGCAAGUACGUACCAUGAACAAACAUAUAUCUUCUUUUAUGUUAGUGCAAAAGAUUGAUCUCAAAUGCCAUCAGCUGCCAGACUUCCUCAGGUUUCGCCAUUUAUCUUUCAAAUCAACUGAUGUUCUCUCUUUAAAGACAUCAUCAUAGAGGAAACGGAUGGCUUCCCAUCUCCCUUUGCCAAAUCUUUUCACCCCAUCUGUCAACGCGUUCACUUCUUGAGGACUCCACUUCUUUGUUUCUCUCCUCAGAUAUCUUUUGCAUUCAUCCUUCUUGAAUUCGGACACCUUACAUUUCUUUGUAUUCAGAGGUAAGAGAGACCAAAGAGGUGAAUCUCUGCAACAGCUAUCAAUAGAGUCACUCCACUCAAAAACAUGACCAGAACACUGGGCCUCCAUCAAACUUCGCUUAUUACUAUGCUGUUCCAGUGAAUAGCCAGUUCCAGUGAAUAGCCAGCCUCCUAUUGAUUUAUUAUCUUUCCGAACAUUUUCAGAGGACGCUUUAGGUGCAUGUGCUUCAGGUUUUGCCUGAUAUGUUUCCAGUACAGAUGACGUACACUUGACAGGUGGAGAAACAUUAGGAACAGGACUUCUUACAGCAACAUGCUCUUUCAUAAAACUGGAUUUCACUGCUUGCUGCACAGGGUCCACCUUAGGAAUUGCAUUUAUAACUGGUUCAAAUUUGUUUUCUACAGUAGUUUGAGCGGUUUGAAGUGCUUUUGGAAGAGCAUCUGUCACAGUAGCCUGCACUUCAUUGGAACUGUAUUUGAGAGGUUCGUGCACUCUGUUCUUCUGAACGUUUUCAGGGGACUCACUAGAUGCAUGUGCUUCUGGAUGUGCCUGGGGCAUUUCAAUUACAGAUGACAAACUCUUUGCAGGUUGAGAAACAUCAGGAACAGGACUUCUCACAGGAACAUACUCUUUUGUGAAACUGGAUUUCACUGCUUGCUGCACAGGGUCCACCUCAGGGAUUGCAUGAAUCACUGGAUUGUUUUCUACAGCAGUUUGAGCAGUUUGAAGUGCUUCCAGAUGAGCAUCCGUCACAGUAACGUGCACUUCACCGGAACUGACUUCGAGAGGUUCGUGCACACAAGUCACUUCAGGUGGUGCAUGAACUUCUAAUCCUGUCUGGUUCGCUACAACUGCUGCAUUAUUCAAAUUUUCUGCCACCUUUGUAAACAACAGAGUAGAAACUGCUUGAGAAGCACCAGGGCAAGGAUCAUCCAUAGUGUUCUGCUGCAGCAUGGAAUUGCAUUGAAGAGCGUCUUGCACUUUGUCCGUGUAGGAGGGGUCAUCAAUAGAUAUAUUCAUGGGCUGCUCUAAGACCUUAUCAUCCGCAUUUGGAAUAUGUCCAGUAAAAUGUACAUUCUUUGCUCCAACAUGUUUCUUCAUUCCUACUAAAAGCCAUCAGCCAUGUAAAUCAAAAGUCUGAAGAGAAGUAAAUGAUCUGACAUUGCCACUAUUAUCAUUGGAAGAGAAAUAUCAGCAGGAAACUCCAAAAGCAAUUGAUACACUCCAUCCUUAUGCAAUAAACAGUACCAUCCAAGUUCAACAAAUAUUAGUAGACUGAUUAUGCUAAGCAGGACAUGUAUCCAUAAUUCAUUUUGAGUCAAGAACCAAAUCAUUCAUGAAUGAGGAUGUGUUUGAGCACUUAGUAGUUAAUAGAGAAAGUGUAAGCUUGCAUGGAAGAGGGAAAUGACGGGGAAGCAAGGGACACCAUAUGCCAAGAGACUGAAGCAAGAGAAAAGCAAAAACGUGAAGAAAAAAGGCUGCUCGACUGAGCUACUGAAUGCUUGAACGAGCAGAAUGAUCAGGCAACAGGCAGUAGCUUGUUCAAUAACCUGCUUGAUCGAGCGAGCAGGUGGCUCAAUUGUCAGAAUCUCAAAACUGUUUUCAACAUGCCUGAAUCUCUUUGGCGAUUUCUAGAUUAGACUUGUUUGACCUCCAGAGCCUAUAAAGAAGGUCUUAAGAGUGAGAAAAAGAGUAGAGGAAUAGUCCAAAGCAACAUUUCUUUAGUUGUUGAAUCUUGUGAGGAAGUAUGCUUGUAUUUUGUGAGACUCCAUAGCAGUUUAUAUAAACUCUAGAGAGUGAAUUUAAGUAUGAGAUUUCUUAAUGUAAUUGUUAAAAUUAUUAAUAUCUAUCUUUGAUUUUGGAGAGGGUACCUUAAGGUACCAUUAAAACACUUGUUUUCUUGCCUGUCCUUUACAUUAUUUGUUUAAGUGUUCAUAUUCACAAGUCACAACAAUUCUCAAUUAUUGUAAAAGACAUUGGCUUCCUUACAUUUCAUUGUCAUAACUGAUGCAAUGUUAUUGUGGCAACCUAUAAUCCCUUUGUCUAAUAGUAAUUGCAUCUCUUGCUAUAUUGAAAUGUCAAAAAAAUAAGUCAGAUUGCACAGGUCAAUACAUUAUGAAUUGAUCUCUACAAACACCCAUCUUGAAAUAGGGAAAGUUCAAAGAGGUAAUUGGGCAUGUCUCAACAGUUUGACGCAAUGUUAUGAGAUCAAAAGCAGUUGUUAAAAAGAACACAUAUUGGAUCCCUAGAAUUGGUCAAUUUUAAUGCCAUGAU